CUACAUAUAAUUUUAAUUUGAAAUUUCUCUGGUGCAAUCAUAUUUAAGCAAGAAAUCACAGAACAUUCUUAUACAGUUUUACGUACAAACUACACAGUAUUUUAAAGCCGAGAUUUGAUUAAGAACUAAAUGUAAUUUUUUUCGGUAUAUUGAAAUGCUUCAUCAAUCUGCUGGAACGAUGGCAGAAACGCUUUCAACUCACGAUUAAUUCACUUCAAAACUCGGCCAGUUUAUUAUAAAAUAUUCGAAAAUUUAACUGAAGCCUGAAUGCCUGAGUAAAUAUCCCGAAAUAAAUCCGUUUGAAAGUCCCGAUUAAGCUUCGGUACCUGAACCAGCUUGCCACUUCAAAUAUAAGUUUUUAACAAAAUGCGAAAGUAAAGUAAAAUAAACAUUAAAGUAACCAACACAGUUUUAACUUCGAAGUUUACUGAUAGUUCAACAGCAGUGUGCGUUCCUGAAGGUUUUAUGGUGAAGCCAAUAAAUGAGCGAUGUUAUUAGAAUGAACGUUGUUUGGUUUCGGCUUUUGUUCGUGAUAAUUUGUGUUCAAUAUUGUUCAGGAUUUCGUUGUUACCACUGUCACCAAACUUCGAAAAAAUGCAACAAUGGAGAUUUGGACGAAAUCCAUCAGAAAAACUGCUCACAACGCAAAUGUACUGUUAUGAAAUAUGAAAGCAGAAAAGUCCUGGCCACUAUUAGGGACUGUGCGUCCUCCACUGAACAUGAUCUGCUUCGAAUGGUUUCGGUCGAACUAAAAACGCCCGCAAAAGUACUUGUAUUUGAAGAGUGCGGAACUUCACUAUGCAACAUGGGCACCAAACACUAUUUAUUUAGUUUCACAUUGUUUCUAGUACUUUUACUGUUCUUAAUUAGCUAACAUUUUCCAGGAGACUGAGAUAUAGCACGAAUGUAAAUUGAUAUUUUAUACGUUUGUUAGAAAAUUAAACUGGAUUGGCCAGCAGCGUCGAUUAAACACUAAAUGGAGAAA
rnacentral:lncRNA from 1 species